GGGGGGGGGGGGGGGGGGGGGGGGGGGGGGGGGGGGGGGGGGGGGGGGGGGGGGGUUGCUGGGCGGAGGGUAGGGGGGGAGGGGGGGGGCACACGUGGCUAACCUACCUAUCAGACGGGGAUAACUUCAGGACACCGGAGCUAAUACCGGAUACUAUAUGGAACCGCAGGGUGCCAUAGGGAACGACGGUUGUGCUGUCACUUCUAGGUGGAUCCGCGCCGCAUUAGCUAGUUUGUCCGGUAACGGCUUACCAACGCAACGCUGCGUAGCCGACCUGAGAGGGUGAUCGGCCAUCCUGGAACUGAGCCACGGUCCAGACUCCUACGGGAGGCAGCAGUAGGGAAUCUUCCGCAAUGGGCGAAAGCCUGACGGAGCAACGCCGCGUGAGUGAUGAAGGUCUUCGGAUCGUAAAACUCUGUUAUUAGGGAAGAACAAAUGUGUAAGUAACUAUGCACGUCUUGACGGUACCUAAUCAGAAAGCCACGGCUAACUACGUG
rnacentral:rRNA from 1 species